GACGAACGCUGGCGGCGUGCUUAACACAUGCAAGUCGAACGGAAAGGCCCUGCUCUUGUGGGGUGCUCGAGUGGCGAACGGGUGAGUGACACGUGAGUAACCUGCACUUGACUUUGGGAUAACUUCAGGAAACUGGGGCUAAUACCGGAUAGGAGCUCCUGCUGCAUGGUGGGGGUUGGAGAGUUUCGGCGGUUGGGGAUGGACUCGCGGCGUAUCGGCUGGUUGGUAGGGUAGUGGGUUACCAAGGCUUUCACGGGUAGCCGGCCUGAGCGGGUGAUCGGCGGCACGGGAGGUGGAACGGGGUCAUGAGGCCUGAGAGAGGCAGCAGAAGGCAAUGGGCGGCAGUGGGCGGGAACAUGGCGGAACGGGGGGGCGCCAGAGGCAGAAGCCCUCGGAGCGUGAUGCUGGGUUUUGGGGUGUAAACAGAUGUCGCAGGUGAUGAAGACGGAGUGACGGUAACGGGUAAGGAAGCACCGGCUAACUACGUG
rnacentral:rRNA from 1 species